UACGGAGGGUGCGAGCGUUGUCCGGAAUCAUUGGGCGUAAAGGGCGCGUAGGUGGCCCGGUCAGCGUGCGGUGAAAGGCUCGGGGCUCAACCCCGAGUCGGCCCGUGCGAACUGCUGGGCUUGAGCACUGUAGAGGCAGGCGGAAUUCCGGGUGUAGCGGUGGAAUGCGUAGAGAUCCGGAAGAACACCGGUGGCGAAGGCGGCCUGCUGGGCAGGUGGCUGACACUGAGGCGCGACAGCGUGGGGAGCAACAGG
rnacentral:rRNA from 1 species